rnacentral:tRNA from 1 species
GGAGUUGUGGCUCAGUGGUAUAGCGCUCACCUAGCAUGUGUGAGGCCCUGGGUUGGAUCCUCAACACCA